AGGUAUCAAACAUGGUCUUUAUGGUUUUGGGUGAUUGUUUUGUUCCUUGGUUGCCAUGUGAUGUUUUGUUUACGUAGCCAUGUGCUUCUGUUCCUUGUGUCUCUGUCUCUUCCCAUCACCUUAUUCUGUUUAUUAGCCUGGUCACUGUCUGCUUAGUUUUCACCUGAUCCUCGUUGAGUUUGACCAAUGAGGUUUCCCCUGUUUGGUUCUCCUUGUGUAUUUAAUCCCUUGUGUUUUUCAUGUAACAUGGCUUCAUCUUUGGCACCAUGCUGCUCUGUUGGAGAAAUGCUCAGUUGUUCUGGAGACUGGCACAAAUUGGAUCAUGUAAGAAACCUCAAAAGUGUACGUGGAACAAGCUACUGCAGCCCAGGUUAUACUUGCACAAAGUCAUCUUAUCAUCGAGCCACCUCAUCUGGGUCCUUGAUGACAAACUCUCCAUAGUCCCCCUGCCAGGCGAUCACCCCCUGAUACUCCUCCUUCUGCAGC